rnacentral:rRNA from 1 species
AUGUACAUGCUUACAACGUUAAUGCACUAGAUCCCAUCAAAACUCCACAGUUAAGCGCACUUGGGAUAGAGUAGUACUGGGAUGGGUGACCUCUCGGGAAGUCCUAGUGUUUUACAUG